CAGGAUAUGAUAUCAGACGCAUCUGAAACAUACGAGUAGGAGGACGUACAUCAUGAGAUACGUUAUAACCUCAUCAGUGCUGUGUAAAUAGUGCUAGACGAGUUACAUAUACGAUACUCCUAGUGAUGUGCUUUUAAUGGUCCUAAAACCCUCAGCAUGCUGUGGUGAGACUGAAUGAGAAUAAAAUGUCUGAAGAUCUAUAAAUAAUCAAAUGUAACUAGAUUUUUUUCCGGAUUUACUUCGCCGAUUUCAUUAUUGUGCGUAUAGUUAUACGUAAUUAUGAUUAUUUUGCUUGGACCCUGACCACGGUUACUACGAUCCGGAAAAAAACAUAGCUUCAUUUAAAUAAAUAGUCGCGAAAGUCCUGAUGUAUAAAUACUGAUGCGACAAAAUCUAUAAUUUGGUUAUACUUCCAAGGCUGUAUGCGGCGGUAUACGUGAAGGGAGUGCAUUCAGAGACGUUAAAGUUUUUAAUAAUAAAAUCCGUGAUUGCACUCCAGCAGUACCUCAGAGAGGUUUGUUAUAGACGAGGAUAGUCUUUGUAGUGAUGCCCUCCGCUGUGUUGUAACUAGCUUGCGGACUACAUCUAAAGGCCGCUUCAGCCCUAGCAUUUGUACUCCGAAGAACGUAUCGGCCUCUUCAUCCUCGUGAUUCACCUUCAACAAGCCCAUUCUACGUAAGGAACCUCCGUAACUAAUAAACGCCCGGCAUCU